rnacentral:sRNA from 1 species
UAUUGCUCUUGAACGAGGAAUCCCUAGUAAGCACAAGUCAUUAGCUUGUGCUGAUUACGUCCCUGCCCUUUGUACACACCGCCCGUCGCUACUACCGAUUGAAUGGCUUAGUGAGGCCUUCGGAUCGAGUUUCGGAGACUGGAAACAGUUCCUGGAUCUUGAAAAGUUGGUCAAACUUGGUCAUUUAGAGGAAGUAAAAGUCGUAACAAGGUUUCCGUAGGUGAACCUGCGGAAGGAUCAUUACCGAUUUUAGCGAACCUGGCCUUUUGGUCAUGGUCUCGCGAAAAACUUGUAUUUAAAACCCCCCACUCUUAUAAAACGAAAUAUUUUGUAUAUACUGUAUAAUAAAAUAAGAUCACUUUCAACAACGGAUCUCUUGGCUCUCGCAUCGAUGAAGAACGUAGCGAAGUGCGAUAAGUAGUGUGAAUUGCAGAAUUCCGUGAAUCAUCGAAUCUUUGAACGCAAAUUGCACUUUCUGGCACCCCGGGAAGUAUGCCUGUUUGAGGGUCAGUUUAAUAAAAAUCGGAGUGUCGCUCUCGUGAUGCACCGGAGGUUGGGUCAUCUUAGCUUUUUUCAGGUUAAGAGGCUUAAAAUUGAUCUUUUUGCGCGGUUUAGACGUACAUAAUUUUUUUAUUCGUCUAUAACGUCAAAUUUUUUACUAGGUGCGAACACGUCGCGUGAUCUCGUGCCUAUAAUAUCUCAUCUUUUGACCUCAAAUCAGGUAGGGACACCCGCUGAACUUAAGCAUAUCAAUAAGCGGAGGAAAAGAAAAUAACAAUGAUUCCCCUAGUAACUGCGAGUGAAGAGGGACAAGCUCAAAUUUAAAAUCUGUUAGGUUUUACCUGACCGAGUUGUAAUUUGAAGAGGCGUUUUCAGCGUUUUUGGUCAGCUCAAGUCCUAUUGAAUGAGGCAUCAUGGAGGGUGAUAAUCCCGUCCGGUUGAUCAAUGCGUUUUACGAUACGUCUUCCAAGAGUCAAGUUGUUUGGGAUUGCAGCUUAAAAUGGGAGGUAAAUUUCUCCUAAGGCUAAAUAACGGCGAGAGACCGAUAGCGAACAAGUACCGUGAGGGAAAGAUGAAAAGAACUUUGAAAAGAGAGUCAAACAGUACGUGAAAUUGUUGAAAGGGAAACGAUUGAAGCCAGUCGUACCGGCGGAUAAUCAGCCUUUCGGGUGCGAUUCUGUGGAGCGUGAGGAGCUUAAUCGCCUUCACGUCUGCAUAUUCGUGCACUUUGGGUGUACUUGUCCGUGUGGUGAGUUAACAUCAAUUCCGGUCGUCAUAAAAUGAUUGGAGGAAUGUAGCUUCGAUCUCGUAUCGUAGUGUUAUAGACUCUGGUAGAUGUGACGAUUGGGAUUGAGGAUUGCAACGGAUACCCUUCGGGGCUACCCGUCUGAUCUCUGAAGGUUGCUCCGGUGCCGAAAGCGUGCUUACGGUUAUCGAAAGUGAUGGUCAAAAGGUUAGAACGGGUUAAAUUCGUUAAGGAUGUUGACGUAAUGGCUUUAAACGACCCGUCUUGAAACACGGACCAAGGAGUCUAACAUAUGUGCGAGUGUUU